rnacentral:rRNA from 1 species
GACGAACGCUGGCGGCGUGCUUAACACAUGCAAGUCGAGCGGUAAGGCCCUUCGGGUACGACGAGCGGCGAACGGGUGAGUAACACGUGGGUGACCUGCCCUUAGCUCUGGGAUAAGCCUGGGAAACUGGGUCUAAUACCGGAUAUGACCUCAUGACGCAUGUUGUGGGGUGGAAAGCCUUGUGCGGCUAGGGAUGGGCCCGCGGCCUAUCAGCUUGUUGGUGGGGUGAUGGCCACCAAGGCGACGACGGGUAGCCGGCCUGAGAGGGCGACCGGCCACACUGGGACUGAGACACGGCCCAGACUCCUACGGGAGGCAGCAGUGGGGAAUCUUGCGCAAUGGGCGAAAGCUUGACGCAGCGACGCCGCGUGAGGGAUGACGGCCU